ACGCUCGACACCUACGGGAGGCGGCAGUGGGGAAUAUUGGGCAAUGGGCGCAAGCCUGACCCAGCAACGCCGCGUGAAGGAAGAAGGCUUUCGGGUUGUAAACUUCUUUUGUCAGGGAACAGUAGAAGAGGGUACCUGACGAAUAAGCCACGGCUAACUACGUGCCUGCAGCCGCGGUAAUCUGAGCGGGCUGGCAAGGC
rnacentral:rRNA from 1 species